UACAGAGGGUGCGAGCGUUGUCCGGAAUCACUGGGCGUAAAGGGCGCGUAGGUGGCGAGAUAAGCGUGUGGUGAAAGCCCGGGGCUCAACCCCGUGUCUGCCAUGCGGACUGUUUUGCUCGAGCGUAGUAGAGGCAGGUGGAAUUCCGGGUGUAGCGGUGGAAUGCGUAGAGAUCCGGAAGAACACCGGUGGCGAAGGCGGCCUGCUGGGCUACUGCUGACACUGAGGCGCGACAGCGUGGGGAGCAAACAG
rnacentral:rRNA from 1 species